GUUUUGAGCUGGAGCCGCAGAAGUCGUCCUGCUCUCCACCAUCCUCAGUCUACGUUGAUACUCCACACAUACCAAGGCAUUGGCUAGAUGUGCUUCAUUACAAUUGACGCACUUUGCUGGUUCAUGUUGAGGGGAAUUUCCUGACUCAUUGUGGCUUUUUUACAAGAUACCGUAUUUGACGUGGAGGUUUUUUUCCUUUUGCGUGGGUCUGGUGUGGUUAUAACUUGGGAAAAUUCUCCACCUGAACUCCCCAUGGGAGCUCGGUCUUGACUUUGGAGAGCACUUGUUAGUGAAGUGGUCGCUGGGACGCUGGGCGAACCAGACAAGAACCAUGGGACGAGAACUGGCGCGUUCAGCAGGAUAUGGUCGUUGGCUGCCAAGAUUAAAAAAAGAAUUUCUUCUUAACGAAAUAUCAUAUGCUCAUCUAUCAAAUUCACGCAAACAUCUUGAUCAGUUAAUAAAAUUAUCCAAAACUACAUAA